rnacentral:lncRNA from 1 species
AUUUCCCAUAGGGUCCUAUGUUAAACUAAGUCCCCUGCUGGCGGCCAUCUUGGAUGAUGGAUCGGCUACAAAGUAACAACACUUGGUCAGCACCUCAUAAGGAACAUUCAUGCAAUGUUUGGUUUUAUUCCAUUCAGUGGUUCUCUAAAAGAAGUCAUUUGUAUGCAUUUCCCAUAGGGUCCUAUGUUAAACUAAGUCCCCCGCUGGCGGCAAUCUUGGAUAAUGGAUCGGCUACAAAGUAACAACACUUGGU